AGAGAGUUUGAUCCUGGCUCAGGAUGAACGCUGGCGGCGUGCCUAACACAUGCAAGUCGAGCGGUACUUCGGUACAGCGGCGGACGGGUGAGUAACGCGUGGGCAAUUUGCCCUUUGCAUUGGGAUAACAGUUAGAAAUGACUGAUAAUACCGAAUAAGCGCACACUGGGGCAUCCCAGAGGGCGAAAAGAUUUAUCGGCAAAGGAGAAGCCCGCGUCCGAUUAGAUAGUUGGCGGUGUAACGGACCACCAAGUCGACGAUCGGUAGCCGGCCUGAGAGGGUGAACGGCCACAUUGGGACUGAGACACGGCCCAAACUCCUACGGGAGGCAGCAGUGGGGAAUAUUGCACAAUGGAGGAAACUCUGAUGCAGCAACGCCGCGUGAAGGACGAAGGCUUUCGGGUCGUAAACUUUUUUAGCCAGGGACGAUAAUGACGGUACCUGGAGAAUAAGCCCCGGCUAACUACGUGCCAGCAGCCGCGGUAAUACGUAGGGGGCAAGCGUUAUCCGGAAUUACUAGGGCGUAAAGGGUGAGUAGGCGGUUUGGCAAGUCAUAUGUGAAAGCCCGGGUCUCAAGCCCGGGAUUGCAUAAGAAACUGUCAGACUAGAGUACAGGAGAGGUAAGCGGAAUUCCAUGUGUAGCGGUGAAAUGCGUAGAUAUAUGGAAGAACACCGGUGGCGAAGGCGGCUUACUGGACUGAAACUGACGCUGAGUCACGAAAGCGUGGGGAGCAAACAGGAUUAGAUACCCUGGUAGUCCACGCCGUAAACGAUGAGUGCUAGGUGUCGGGGAGAGAUUCUCGGUGCCGCAGCAAACGCAAUAAGCACUCCGCCUGGGGAGUACGGCCGCAAGGCUGAAACUCAAAGGAAUUGACGGGGACCCGCACAAGCGGUGGAGCAUGUGGUUUAAUUCGAAGCAACGCGAAGAACCUUACCAAGGCUUGACAUCCCUCUGACAGGAGUAGAGAUACUUUUUUCUUUCGGGACAGAGGUGACAGGUGGUGCAUGGUUGUCGUCAGCUCGUGUCGUGAGAUGUUGGGUUAAGUCCCGCAACGAGCGCAACCCUUGUCUUUAGUAGCUACAUUUAGUUGGGCACUCUAGAGAGACUGCCGCAGUGAAUGCGGAGGAAGGUGGGGACGACGUCAAAUCAUCAUGCCCCUUAUGUCUUGGGCAACACACGUGCUACAAUGGCUCCUACAAAGUGAAGCGAGACCGCGAGGUGGAGCAAACCACAAAAAGGAGUCCCAGUUCGGAUUGCAGGCUGCAACCCGCCUGCAUGAAGUUGGAAUCGCUAGUAAUCGCGAAUCAGAAUGUCGCGGUGAAUACGUUCCCGGGUCUUGUACACACCGCCCGUCACACCAUGGGAGCUCGAAGCACCCAAAGACCGUGACCCAACCUUCGGGAGGGAGCGGGCUAAGGUGAAGCGAACGACUGGGGUGAAGUCGUAACAAGGUAGCCGUAUCGGAAGGUGCGGCUGGAUCACCUCCUUU
rnacentral:rRNA from 1 species